GAAGAUAUCCGUGCAAACUCAAUUUGCAGGGAAAUCUCAGGGAGUCUGUGUAGAGAAGGCUGAAGUUAAAGGCUAAAGUAAACCCCUCAAAGGUGAAACUGGGUCUUCUCCCUGAAGGAGGCUGUAUGUCCCAGGAGUGUGGCUACGAGACAGGGGAGACUGCUUCUGCCUGGAUCCCUGAGUCAUCACACGGAGCAUCAUGGCCCUGGAGACGCCCCAGGAUGCACAGCAGACUUCUAGUAAGGCAUUGAAAUACGGCUUAAUGAGAUGAGAUGCGGGCAUGUGACUUCAGCCGGUCUGAGAGAGUGCAUCUCAGAAGCUUUGCCUUGAAUGCUGGGUCAUCCCGAGAGUGCAGUGUGUGGGUGUGAGUCCUGGAUCUGCUGCAGCCAUUUUGUCUCCAAGAGGGAAGCCAGCCUAAGGAAGAAGCUGACCGACGGAGGAUGGUGCAGUUGAAAGAGAGGCAGAGAAAUGGAACCCUGGUCCUGAAAACAUGGUGAACUACCCUUCCUCUGCACUCUGAGUUACAUGAGAAAGUAAAUUAACUUAAUUUUUCAAGUCCGUUUGAGUUAGGUCUUCUGUUAGUUGAGACUUAAAGCAUUUUUAGGUUGAUUUGCCCUAAUUCCAAAACCAAGUCCUUGAUCUACAGCAUAUUUCCCCCACUACUUCCACAAAGAAUUUCCAACCAUGCCCUUCUCUCAUUUGUUCUUCCCUGGGCAUCCCUUACCCCACAUUAUUUAUGAUUUUCUGUUUCUUUGCAGGAUUCUCCAAUAAAAAGUAGACCUUCUAGGGUCUGACUCUC